GCCGUAGUGGCGGAAUUGGCAGACGCGCGUGGUUCAGGUCCACGUACUCGCAAGGGUGUGGAGGUUCGAGUCCUCUCUUCGGCACCA
rnacentral:tRNA from 1 species